GAGAAACGGCUACCACAUCUAAGGAAGGCAGCAGGCGCGCAAAUUACCCAAUCCCGACUCGGGGAGGUAGUGACGAUAAAUAACAAUGCCGGUCCCAAAGUGGUCCGGCAAUUGGAAUGAGACCAAUCCAAACCCCUUAACGAGGAACAAUUGGAGGGCAAGUCUGGUGCCAGCAGCCGCGGUAAUUCCAGCUCCAAUAGCGUAUAUUUGUUUUGCUGCAGUUAAAAAGCUCGUAGUUGGAUUUCGGGGCCCGUCGUGGAGGUCUUUUCGUUGCGGCGCGAGAGGGUGACCUCGAGCGUCUGCGGGGAAGGGUCUUGCGACGCUCGGCCGGAGCGGUCCGUCGAGAGGCGAGCACUGCCCGGCGGCUCCAGAGUUUCUCGGGGGGUCCGUCUGCUCUUCAUUGCAGCGGUCGGGUCGUUCGGGACGUUUACUUUGAACAAAUUAGAGUGUUCCAAGCAGGCCGGUCGCUUUGAAUACGUUAGCAUGGAAUAAUGGAAUAGGGCUGGUGCGUCCUAUUUUGUUGGUUUUCGGGACCGCAGUCAUGGUCGAUAGGGACAGUUGGGGGCGUUGGUAUUCAGUUGUCAGAGGUGAAAUUCUCGGAUUUACGGAAGACCGUCUGGUGCGAAGGCGUUCGCCAAGGAUGUUUUCAUUAAUCAAGAACGAAAGUUGGGGGUUCGAAGACGAUCAGAUACCGUCGUAGUCCCAACCAUAAACCAUGCCGGCUAGGGAUCGGCGGGCGUCGGAUGCGACCCCGUCGGCACCUUGCGAGAAAUCGAAG
rnacentral:rRNA from 1 species